AGAGUUUGAUCAUGGCUCAGGAUGAACGCUGGCGGCGUGCCUAACACAUGCAAGUCGAGCGAAGCGAUUCGGAUGAAGUUUUCGGAUGGAUUUUGGAUUGACUGAGCGGCGGACGGGUGAGCAACGCGUGGGUAACCUGCCUCAUACAGGGGGAUAACAGUUAGAAAUGACUGCUAAUACCGCAUAAGCGCACGGUACCGCAUGGUACGGUGUGAAAAACUCCGGUGGUAUGAGAUGGACCCGCGUCUGAUUAGGUAGUUGGUGGGGUAACGGCCUACCAAGCCGACGAUCAGUAGCCGACCUGAGAGGGUGACCGGCCACAUUGGGACUGAGACACGGCCCAAACUCCUACGGGAGGCAGCAGUGGGGAAUAUUGCACAAUGGGGGAAACCCUGAUGCAGCGACGCCGCGUGAGUGAAGAAGUAUUUCGGUAUGUAAAGCUCUAUCAGCAGGGAAGAAAAUGACGGUACCUGACUAAGAAGCCCCGG
rnacentral:rRNA from 1 species